UACGUAGGGUGCGAGCGUUAAUCGGAAUUACUGGGCGUAAAGCGUGCGCAGGCGGUCUGUUAAGACCGAUGUGAAAUCCCCGGGCUUAACCUGGGAACUGCAUUGGUGACUGGCAGGCUUUGAGUGUGGCAGAGGGAGGUAGAAUUCCACGUGUAGCAGUGAAAUGCGUAGAGAUGUGGAGGAAUACCGAUGGCGAAGGCAGCCUCCUGGGCCAACACUGACGCUCAUGCACGAAAGCGUGGGGGAGCAAACAGG
rnacentral:rRNA from 1 species